GAGCAUUGGGAAGCACUGGGAGAAAUGAGCAGUUCACACCAGAUUUUUGAAACUAGAGAUGUGGCUGUCCAUCAGCAGGUACAGGGUUGAGGCAGUGAGCAAGAGAUCAAUUCUCCCUGUCCUUGCGCAAGAGGACAAAACGUAAUGGAAUUCCCUAUGUUACAAGUGAGAAGAAAUUUCUCAGUGCUAGAAGAUAGGGAAGCCUUGGAACAGAUGGCCUGGGGAUCUGGUGGCAUUUCAGCUGCUGGCAAUCACUGCAGAGGGAGAGAGAGUCAAGUCUGUCAAAAAUGACAUAGAUAUAAUAGAGCCUCCCUCUUGGCAAGGCAGCGGGUCAGGUCGCCUCUUAAUUCUCUUUCCUGGCUGGCUCACUCUGUGUGUGCAACUGCAAACCAGAGGGAACAGAAAUGCUGUGAUUUGCAUGGACUGGUCCUCCCAGAAGCUGAAAACAAAAAUGCAGAGCAGUUUUUGAUGGACACAAAAAGAAUGAAAUCCUAAUGAGGGUAGUGAAGAAUUAUAACUGCAAAGAAUGAAGAGACAAAGAUUAAAAGUGGAAAAGAAUAUACAUAUUUUUAAAUAAAAUCUUCUGGACUACUGACAUCUUUGUAAUUAUGUGUUGGGACAGUGUUUCCUAUUAUUUUAGAAUUUCUUCAGUCAUUUGGGGACAAGAGCAAAGCCAAACAAGGGAGCAGGUGUCGAGCUUUUGUUGAUUUUUUUCACUUGGAAAGGGUGUAUAUUUUGAAGUAAUGACUGGUCAAAGAGGAGUAUCAGUGCAUUUCAAGGAGCAAAGUGUGAGAGAUUUUCAGCUUGAUCUCAGAAGGGGUCAGGGAGUCUGCUCUCAUGGAUGGAUGGAAGAUGGCGUCAGGAUAGCCUCUCUUCUGCCAGUUACACAUCAAAUAGAGGAGAACUUGUUUGCACAGGGCCUUUCUUCUGAGAUAAAUGGUAACAUACUGGGAGGACCGUGCUGUGGAAGCGGUGCAUCUGAUACCUUUGUUCAGCGUCUUGCUUUUCUCUUUUCAUGCUAUGCAUACGGCUACAGAGCAGCACAACAUGCUGUGCUGUCCAUGCACAGCGUUAUCCACUGUUCGCAGAUGUAAGGAGACUCUUCUUGACUUUGAUUGUGCAAACACUGUGGCCAUUUGGACAUAAGAAGACCCAGUUGAAUAGAAAUUGAAGACAUACCUGUCCUAGUACCUCAGAUGGUCUGCUUUCCACAUUGUUGUUCUGAGAAGAUGAUGAUAGGGAAUCUGUUUUUUCUUCAUGCCCAUCUCUCUACAUGCAGACAAAUAUUGUCAAGAGUCCCCACAUUGCAGCAGAGCCUUGAGUGCGUGGCAUUGCCUGAAACUUGUGCUCCUUGAUUGAUCUGAAUCCUUAAGAACAGGGAAGGAUUAGUGAGUACUGCUUCUAUUAACUCCCUUUUGGUCCCACUGCCUUUCUGGCUUUUUCUGGCCAUUCUCAGAUUGACCUUGGGUUGUAACAGAUGCUGGGGGAAAAAAAAUACAAGGCUUUUAAAUACGUCAGAUAGCGCUCUCUUUAAAAAAAGAAAAAAAAGUCUGUUUAAACAGCUGGGACUGGAGUUAAUUUGUGAAGGCCUGUUUGUGGUAUAAGUUCCACAGGGAAAGCUGAAAUGAAGAAAGGAUAUAAUACCCUUCUUUAUGAAAAUAAACAAAACCCUUGAAGCUAGUAUUGCUUAACCCUAGCAUAGAAAGAUGCAGGACUUUUGCUUCUCUUUUUGCUAAGCAAAAUGUAUACAGAGAUUAUAUAUUUUUUUAAAGGUAGCAAGCAUCUUUGGAGAUGGUGCCAAAAAACUGGUAAAAUAGUAUACUCUCUGCCUUUUGGCUUACCCUAAACUAAACAUUAUUAGUGUCCCACAGUCAGCUACAUCUCUCUGACAUUGAAUCCUCUUUGCACUCUGAAGAUCGUAACAAUGAAAUAAUUAAACUCAGAUACAUGACACUGUGGAGUCAUGACUGUGUAUGAGGACACAAUUCCCUAUCUGGACAAGGAGAAAUGUUCUAUAGCAGUUAUGGGCAGUUGUAAGUGAAGUAGCUAAUUCAUCUUAGUCACAAAAUCAGGGUGCAAAAUGACCCCACUUGGUUCAUGACACUGUCUAUAUCUAGGGAGUCUGCACAUGAGUUACGAAUUCCGGCUUGACUUAUUGAACCUGGUUUUAACUCUUGAUAAUUGUCUUGGUUUCUCUUAUAUCUUUUCUCUCUCCUGUGAUGUUUCCUUUGGUUCCUGUGCUUUGUAAAAGACAAUUUAUUUAUGAGCUGAUUUGUUGAGAUCUAUCCAGGAUCUGAUGAUUUGGCCUGCUCCUGAAAGAGGCCUACUACAGGUAAAAUGAGCUUUUUAUUGUGUCACCGCAGGGGCCAGGGCACAAAAUAUCAGGCAUAGUUUGAGACUGGAGUAUAAGGCCUAGACUCGACCAAGAAGUAGUAAAAACAGCACAUUUAUUUUCUAGUUAGUGGAUACCUCUGGUCAGUGAGUCCCACCUUUUGCUGAAGCUGCCAUAGGUUCCUGAGCAAAGAAAGUCUAAGCUUUUCCUAGUAACCUAGUAACCAGGUCUGAAUGCACUAGCUGUUUGGUUUUGUGUUUUCUUUUGUUCGAAAGCUGAAACUUGCAUGCUCAUUUCUGAAAUGGCCGAGCAUCUUUGGCCCUGUGGAUGUCCCUUUCCCUCUCAACCUCAACGUCAAGCUGCAUGGAAUUGGCCGUGUAACCCUAAAACAGCUUCACCAUCUGUUACCAUACAGGAACCCACAUUUAGACUGGUGACACUGAUAACACGCCUUUUAUUUUUUCCUUCUUCAAUCAUGCUGAGACCGAGGAUAAUUAUCAUACUUCUUACAAACCUGUUCUUGUAGCUGAUGCAAAACCUUGUAAAGGCAUGUUAAAAUAACUUGCUUAAGCAUGGUAAUUUUCUAAAAAGUAAGGAUGCUGGAAAACAGAACAAACUCAUUUAAGGAUUCAUAGGAAAAGAGUGCUGGCUAUUUAUAAUCUCAGGAUUUUAAACAGAAUAACGACUCAAAAGUGUGCAGUGAAUUUUGGUUGUGAAGAAAGCAAAGAUGGAAGCUUGAGAAAUCAGCUUCUGAUGUAUUAAAAAUAAAAAUCUGUGAAGUGUCUUUUCUCUGCUUGGACUAAAGAAGCCUUCCAUGUGAUCCUGGCAGAGGCAGAAAGACUUGGUUGGCCUGAAUGAAAUAAAUCACUGCUCUUAAUACAAUAUUAGUUUGAAGCAAGCUCUGAAUUCUAACCUCUGUAGGCCUGAGAUAGUCAGUAGUUUGCACAUGCACAGCUGAGAAGCUGUUGAUCUUCUUGUUUAUUUUUUCUGCACUAAUUAUCCUAAUCUUUGUAAAACAUGUUAUUCCAUCUUAUACUCCAUAGAUUAAAGCCAGAAUUACUAAUAAACAGGAUUUUUGCUGCCUUGUUGUAAAAUGCUUGUGGUGUCAUUAGGAGCAGUCGGAGCUCUUUACAUUCCUGACCUAUGACUCAAAAUGGAUGUGUAAUUCAGAAUAAGCACAAUGGUAAGGACUCUCCUAUUCGCACUUAGUGUCUUUGAUGGAGAAAGCAAACAUCUUCUUUAUAAUACUUAUCAAGUUCAGCUGAGAAAUAGGCUUAAAAAUAUGACUUCUUUUGUAUAGUUCCAAGCUUGUUAGCCUUGUUGGCCAGUACUGGCAAUAUUUGAUUUCUCUAUAAUAGAAAUCUUUUUUAAUAGCAUUAGAGUUCUGGCCUCAGAAUUAUGCAGAGAGCUGACAACAACAACAUCUGAGAUCUAAUUCCUGUAUUUUUUUAGGACUACAUCUUUUUCGAGCAUGUCGGCAUAUCAUCACUGGACCCAAACUUCCUAGUUAGAAAGUGGCACUUCCCUGAAGUUCAGUAUGUUUCUUGAGCCCUAUUCAGAAGCCAGUGCUUCCUGUAUGCAGUUUCUGAUGCAAACUGCCUAGCAUAAAUUUUCUGUUUCCAUGGCUGUAUCUGACCAAGGUGUGGACAUUUGCCUUUACAGUCAUCUGUAUCAAUGCAAAAGCAAGAAAUAAGUUCAGAACCUGAGAUAUUUAUGUAAUUGCUACGUGGGGUUUUUUUUUGUUAGGUUUUUUUUUUUUUUUUUUUUUUUAGAUUUCCCUUCCCUUCAGUGCUGUUAAUUUAUUUGAUAUAUCACAGCUUGCAGUCUUUCCAAACUGUCUGGUUAUCUCAGUUCAUGACAUCCACUUGUCGCAAGUACAAGUUGUCCCUAAGUAACCCAAUAGGUCAUUUCAAACACAGCCUUUCUAAAAGGGAAAGUGUAAUGAAUAGAGUUAGAGACAAUUUGGGAAUCAAAAAUAAAACAGAGCUCACUCACAGAGGCAAAAAAUCCUAAGGGAGCUCUUUAUGUACAGGACAUAAAUCUUGCCGGUUGUAGUCAUUAAGAGACAUGGGUAUCAAGGCCCAGGAGGAGAGAUUUGCUAGACCAUUAAUAACAUAGGCAAAUUACACCCAGAUAUGAAACUGCAAAUAGAAUCAGAGUUGUGACACUAUUUGCACAUCGUCACUAUAACCUUGAAAUUAAUCUUUCAUCCUUUAGCAUUCUCAAAUCUAUUGCAAGUAACUUUGCUAUAAUAACAGUUCAGGCAUCUUUCAUGCCAAUGCUCUUUGGUGGCCAUACUGUGAAGAUGUUGAUGAAAAAAGAGAGACCAUUUUAUAUGGAGUUUUUGUGCACAAUGAGUAUUGCUCCAAUUGUGUCCAAAUGAGAAGUGUGUGGCUUGAUCUUAUAGAUGUUGCCGACUCACCUGAUGAAAAAAAUACAGUAUUCUGAAAGAUAGCUUCACCGUUCCCAUGGUCCUCUUAAUUAAAAAACUAAUUGAAAAUCAGUUCUGAAUGAGCUUUCUCCCUGCAGACAUGAUCUUUCCCUCAUAUUUCCUUCAAGAAGUUCUUUUGAAGUAUCAGAAAUGUAAGCAGUGAUCAUGGACUGAGGCUGAGAACAGUCAGGACUCAUUUAAAAGUGCCUCUGGUACACAUCUGAUAAUGAAAACCUGGACUGAGUCAGCAUUUAUUUGACCUACCAGCAAAUGGAAAACUUACAAAAGCUCAUGGACUUUCCAUCUAAGACAUAUUUGGGAGUCACUGGCAUAGAUAUAUGUAUGGGAAUUGUUGAAUAAUGGCGUGAACCUCUGAUUGACCACCUGAGGUGAGCACUGAGUCAGCCAUGGGAGCACAGGUGGAGGCAAUUCAGCUGUGUGACUGGAAGAGGUGGAGCCAGGCUGCACCUCUCCUAGACUCCACGUAAAGGCUGAUUGCCACUGAGGAAGGAUUUCUUCCUGGAGAUUGCUCCUUGUGGAGUUUUCUUGCAAGCCUCCAGCACUGGUGAGCUUGUUUCCUUUUAUUUCUGAUUAUCUUUUCCAAAGUGAUAAUCUUUCCAGUUAUAUGUCCUUGAAAGACUAGCCUAACUUCACUGUUUAGUUGUUGAUUAUACAUCUGUGUACUCGUUGAUUAUACAAUAUGGAAUUUCAGAUUACAUUACAAUUAGAGAAUUGUAGGGGUUGGAAAGGAUCUCAAGAGAUCAUAGAGCCUAAUUGCCCUGCUAAAGCAGUUCCCUGCAGUAGGUUGCACAGGUAGGCAUCCAAACAGGUCUUAAAUAUGUCCAUAGAAGAAAACUCCACAACUCUGGGCAGCCUGUACCAGUGUUCUGUCACCCUUACUGUAAAAAAUUUCUUCCGCGUGUUUCUAUGGUUUUUCCUUUGUUCAAGUUUUAGACCAUUACUCCUUAUCUUAUUGCUAUGCACUACUGAGAAGAGCCUGGCCUCGCCCAUUUGCUUCCCACCUCCCUUUAGAUCUUUAUUAACAUGAAUCAGAUCCUGCUUCAGUCUUCUUUUCCUCAUACAGAAGAUGCUCUAGGCCCUUUAUCAUCCUGUAUCUUAUCAUCCACAAUAAUGAGGAUAUAUCACAACCCAAGAAGCUCCUAGUAAAAUGCGUGAGCUUUCUAAUGGAUCUCUGUAGGAAAAAUGUUGUCUUAGGUAAGAUAUAAUUUCCUUGAGGCUCUGCCAGUUAAGGUACCAGCCAGAGAAGUGUGAGAUUGUACAGUGGAGCCACCAAAUAUUUAAUGAAAAGACUUUCACAGAAGUUGAUCAAUAACAGAAAAACAGUGUUACUGUUGUACACAUUCCCAAAUGCAUAACCUUGGUGAAAAGCAAGCCGAAGCCAUGACAGAUCACUUCCUUAAAUCCUCUCCAAGUUAGCAGUCUGUUUCUGUUAGUAAUGUGCCUCAUGGUUCCCAUUUGCACCAACUUUCAGGUGAAUGCCUGUUUCACAGCUGAAAAAGAGAUCGACUGGAUUGUGGGGCUGGCCAAAACAUCCUUCUGUCCUAAAAUUCCUUUUUACUGUCUCUUCUCUAUUCCUCAUCUGCCAGUUUCACAGGUAGCAUUCAUACCAGCCCCAAAAUGAAGUUGGCAUUAUUAUUAAUUCCUACUUCCACUGAGGUCAGGCAAUGGUUUUGAACUACUGUUGUUUUUUCGGUUUGUUUGUUCUCAAAUCUAAAGUAUCUGUGUUUGAACGUAAGGUCAUCAUUUGCAGGUCAACUUGAGCUUGCUAUUUGUUAGUUCCCUUAUUUAAUAUUGUUAGAUGUACUGUCAUAAUGUCCACAGAGAGGACGGUUGCGAAACCGUCAAUCUGUCUCAUGCAAAUGAGAAAUGGAAAAGUGAUCUUAGGUAAAAGGAAUAUCAUAAAAAUCUCUGCCUUCUGAAGUGACACAUUAUCAAAAAGGUUGGGAGCAAGGUGCAAGGAUUGCUCUUAACCCCAUGUUCAUCGUGAAUCUCUUUCCUAAUCCCUUUGCAUUCAUCCUGCUGUACCUUUAUUAAAGAAAAAAAACAUGGAAAAGCAAAGAGCUGGAAAUAGAUUGGAAAGGAACAAACCAUGAGUUAAAUUAAUGCUACCACAGGUGAGUAGCACCAAUGAUAAUUCCUCCCUGUGCAAUGGUGCUACGGUUUCGGAUGUGAUGUAUAUUCUGAUGUACUUCUCAGAGGAGAAAUGAGGCCAGUGAGUAAUUGUCAUGUCAAAUAAUCAAAUAAUUGUUUUUCAGCCUGCUGUAGAUUACUAUUGAUGGCAAGAACUGCCAGGAGGCAUUCGUACUUUGAAAGGAUCAGAGCAGUGUGCAAGGACUGCCACAGCAAAGCUGAGAUCUGACCCCAGAAUAGGGCAUAAAUACAGCACCAGAGGGCAAGAGAAAGAAGGGGGCUAUGCAAGAGGCCAGCAAUGGCUCCAGUGUGUGAAUGUUGUAGAUUUCUUUACUUGAUUUUUGGGUUUGUUUUCUCAGGCUGAUGUUUUGAGAUCACAAUCUGUCCCUCAGGAAAGCCUAUGCUGGUGAUUGUGCUGCCUCAACUGAUGGGCUGCGCAUUUGGAUUUGUUCUCCUGAACAUGGUAAAGGUGAUGGCCAUAAGGGCUCAUUUUGUAAAGGAAUAAUGCUCCCUUAGGGUUUCCCUUUAAGAAAGAUACAGCUCAAAGGUAAAGAGAAGAGAUUCUGGCUACAAUUCACAUUAAAAAAAAAAAAAAAAAGAGUCAAAAAAGACCAUGUUGAUUACAUGCAUUUGUAAUGUGGAAAUGCAUCCAGCAAGUGAGUGAAUUAGCUUUGGAUGCCCAUAAUGUCUACCUCAGAUAUGCAAUGCUGUAGGGUUAAUCAGACAAGUAUCUUAGAGUAAAGCAUUUCUAAUGUUUAUGGCACUGACAUGGGGUUCUGGACUGAGGAGAAAAAUACAUAAUGAUUAAACACAGAAAUAGACAAGGCAGGUGGUGGUUAAUGAGCAAGUUUGUUGCACCUUUGCUUUUGUAGUGAGGUAAUUUACUGAACCUUUGUAAGCUUUUGAAAAUUCUAAGAUGUAACAUUUUAUCUAUUAUUUUAUUCUGAAUUUUACUUCAUUGUUUUUUUCCCAAUCAUUUAACACUGAGGAAUAUUCAGAAAGCAUCAAGUAUAUUAAAAAAUUAAGAUGUAUAUGGAUUGCAAACAAACAAA
rnacentral:lncRNA from 1 species